CGCGAGUGAUCGUCGAUCUCAUUCGGCGGCUCAACACAUUCAUUCCCACAUCGAAUCAGUCGAAGAUUCGCCUUCUAUCCAGUCACUUCCUCUAAAUCCGCCGAGAGAAAUUCACAUCUCUUGUGCUCAUCCUUGGUGUGAAUAAGGGGACUUAAGAGUGUGACAGAGAGUGCGAAAAACCGGGGAAUUUACACGAAAAUUCAACACAAAGUGAAUCUCAAAAGAACUCUGCUUCACUGAGUGUCAUAAAAAUCAGUAAAAAUUCAUCACUAUCAGACGGAAAAACGUGCCAAAAUUGGACAAUGUUGGAAAAUGUGCUGCAUAUUUAGAAGUUUCGUGCGAGGAACGUGGUUGAAGUGAAUUCUGUAAAACGAUUUCUUUCUUUAGGUUAAAAAUAGCAGGAGAUAUUUUCAGAGAGCUCUAAACAUCAAGACACUCUCAGUGCGGGGUGUACGCUUGAGAUCGAAUUCAAUAUCCGUCAGAGAGACAUACAGAUAUUUUUCUUCCUCUUGUGCGCCACAUCAACUGGAGAAGGCGAAGUGAAAGAAAACUCCGCAUAUCUCUGGCUCGCAUUUCGGGAAGGGAAAUGAGCGCCUGAGCUCGCGCCCUAUUCCUGGAAACCGCCACAGACAAUGCCUCCGACUGUCGUGUCGCAACUCUCGCCGAGUGUCGCCAACUCGGCCGGCUUCUCCAAGAUGCCCUCGCAGGGCUCAUCGCUGCCCUACUCCUACCAGGCCUCCUCGGCGCCCUUCCAGCAGCCGCAGCACAUGAUGUACUACUUGAUGGACGAGCCGCCGCCGCCGCCGCCCGCCUUCAUGCAAUCGUCAAUGCCUGCGCUGUGGAAUGCUUAUCCUGUGGCCCAGAAUUACUCCCACAACCAUCAGUCCGAGUCUCUCACGCCGCCGUCGUCGUCCUACGACCAGAUCUUCGAUUUGAUAGACGCCCUGGGCAAUUUGGACAUCUCCAGCAACUUUGACAGCAAGAAGGUGCAGAAGACGCCCCCGGCGAACUACCUGUGUCACCUGUGCUUCAGGAAGGGCCACUUUAUCCGCGACUGCCCGAAGGCCAGACCGAAAGCCGAGGGGAAGACGCCGUAUCAGGGCAAGAAGAGGUGCUUCGGGGAGUACAAAUGCCCCAAAUGCAAGAGGAAGUGGAUGUCGGGCAACUCGUGGGCCAACAUGGGUCAAGAGUGCAUCAAGUGCCAAGUGAACGUCUACCCGCACAAGCAGGUAAAUCGCUAAAGGGAUGAUUUGGCGAGAGGGCGGGCGUUUUGCUCCAGAAACCUCAAUUCGCAGGCGAAGAGAGAGAGAGAGAGAGAGUCUCAGAGUGUGAAAUUACUGAGUGAAGUUGUUAUUGUUAGGGCGAGUAUUAAAUUCUCUGGCAUAAACUUUGUAUAUGUUUAGAACUUUAGAAGUUGGUCAGCAUAAAUAUUCCGUAUCAUUCCCACUUAUCAACAUCCAUAACAAUGCGAUUUUCAUAUAUGCGAAAAUUGUGAAUUUAUCGAGUAAACAAAUUCCUGCUUCGCCAGCACACAAGGGCGAUUAUGAGGAAAGAAUUAAGAAGAUAGGAUUAGGCAAUGGGGAUAUUAAGCUCAGUUCAGUUCCAUCAAUCAAUCAGCGUGCUGCUCUGCGCCAAUUAAUCCGCGAUGUUGUGCAACGGUUGCCGAAUUAAGUACACAAAGGGAGAAAUCAUUUGGAGCUGUGGCUCUUGCCACAGGAUCUUCCACGAGGAGUGCAUGGGAAUGAUCGCGUAUGAUCUGAAGUGCUUCAGGCGCCUCUCGCAUGCGCAAAAGAAGGCGUGGUGAGACCGCUUGAGAAGCCCGAUGGGCUGGACGUGUCGGACCAGUCAAAGGUUCACCCCCAAAUGCUCUGCGAGA